rnacentral:rRNA from 1 species
AUUGAACGCUGGCGGCAGGCUUAACACAUGCAAGUCGAGCGGAGAUGAGGUGCUUGCACCUUAUCUUAGCGGCGGACGGGUGAGUAAUGCUUAGGAAUCUGCCUAUUAGUGGGGGACAACAUUCCGAAAGGAAUGCUAAUACCGCAUACGCCCUACGGGGGAAAGCAGGGGAUCUUCGGACCUUGCGCUAAUAGAUGAGCCUAAGUCGGAUUAGCUAGUUGGUAGGGUAAAGGCCUACCAAGGCGACGAUCUGUAGCGGGUCUGAGAGGAUGAUCCGCCACACUGGGACUGAGACACGGCCCAGACUCCUACGGGAGGCAGCAGUGGGGAAUAUUAGACAAUGGGCGGAAGCCUGAUCCAGCCAUGCCGCGUGUGAAGAAGGCCUUUUGGUUGUAAAGCACUUUAAGCGAGGAGGAGGCUGCCUGGAUUAAUACUCUAGGAUAGUGGACGUUACUCGCAGAAUAAGCACCGGCUAACUCUGUGCCAGCAGCCGCAGUAACAC